GACGAACGCUGGCGGCGUGCCUAAUACAUGCAAGUUGAGCGAUGAAGAUUGGUGCUUGCACCAAUUUGAAGAGCAGCGAACGGGUGAGUAACGCGUGGGGAAUCUGCCUUUGAGCGGGGGACAACAUUUGGAAGCGAAUGCUAAUACCGCAUAACAACUUUAAACAUAAGUUUUAAGUUUGAAAGAUGCAAUUGCAUCACUCAAAGAUGAUCCCGCGUUGUAUUAGCUAGUUGGUGAGGUAAAGGCUCACCAAGGCGAUGAUACAUAGCCGACCUGAGAGGGUGAUCGGCCACAUUGGGACUGAGACACGGCCCAAACUCCUACGGGAGGCAGCAGUAGGGAAUCUUCGGCAAUGGACGAAAGUCUGACCGAGCAACGCCGCGUGAGUGAAGAAGGUUUUCGGAUCGUAAAACUCUGUUGGUAGAGAAGAACGUUGGUGAGAGUGGAAAGCUCAUCAAGUGACGGUAACUACCCAGAAAGGGACGGCUAACUACGUG
rnacentral:rRNA from 1 species